CCUGCCGGACCUGACUGCUAUCGGAUUGAUACUAAGCCAUGCGAGUCUUUGUAGUAAUACAAGGCAGACGGCUCAGUAACACGUAGUCAACCUACCCUAUGGACAAGAAUAAUCUCGGGAAACUGGGCAUAAUUCUUGAUAGAUCAUAAUGCCUGGAAUGGUUUAUGGUUAAAAUGAUUCGUCGCCAUAGGAUGGGACUGCGGCCUAUCAGCUUGUUGGUGAGGUAAUGGCCCACCAAGGCGAUUACAGGUACGGGCUCUGAGAGGAGAAGCCCGGAGAUGGGUACUGAGACACGGACCCAGGCCCUAUGGGGCGCAGCAGGCGAGAAAACUUUGCAAUGUGCGAAAGCACGACAAGGUUAAUCCGAGUGAUUUCUGCUAAAGAAAUCUUUUGCCAGUCAUAAAACCACUGGUGAAUAAGGGGUGGGCAAGUUCUGGUGUCAGCCGCCGCGGUAAAACCAGCACCUCAAGUGGUCAGGAUGAUUAUUGGGCCUAAAGCAUCCGUAGCCGGCUUUGUAAGUUUUCGGUUAAAUCCAUGUGCUCAACGCAUGGGCUGCCGAAAAUACUGCAUGGCUAGGGAGUGGGAGAGGUAGACGGUACUCAGUAGGAAGGGGUAAAAUCCUUUGAUCUAUUGAUGACCACCUGUGGCGAAGGCGGUCUACCAGAACACGUUCGACGGUGAGGGAUGAAAGCUGGGGGAGCAAACCGGAUUAGAUACCCGGGUAGUCCCAGCUGUAAACGAUGCAGACUCGAUGAUGCAUUGGCAUAAUAGCCAGUGCAGUGUCGCAGGGAAGCCGUUAAGUCUGCCGCCUGGGAAGUACGUACGCAAGUAUGAAACUUAAAGGAAUUGGCGGGGAGCACACAAGGGUGAAGCUGCGGU
rnacentral:rRNA from 1 species